AUAGACUUCUGUGCUUGCACCCAAAGAUUAGUGGCGAACGGGUGAGUAACACGUGAGUAACCUGCCCUUGACAUCGGGAUAACCCUGGGAAACCGGGUCUAAUACCGGAUACUACCUCCUGGCGCAUGCCAUGGGGGUGGAAAGCUUUAUUGCGGUUUUGGAUGGACUCGCGGCCUAUCACCUUGUUGGUUGGGGUAAUGGCCCACCAAGGCGACGACGGGUAGCCGGCCUGAUAGGGUGACGGGCCACACUGGGACUGAUACACGGCCCACACUCCUACGGGAGGCAGCAGUGGGGAAUAUUGCACAAUGGGGGAAAGCCUGAUGCAGCGACGCCGCGUGAGGGAUGACGGCCUUCGGGUUGUAAACCUCUUUCAGCAGGGAAGAANCGAAAGUGNCNNGUNNCCUNCNCAANAAGCNCCGGCUAANUNNCGUNCCNGCAGCCNCNGNUAAUNCNUAGGGCGCNAGCNNUAUUCNCGGAANUUAUUGGNCGUAAAGANCUNGUNGGCNGUUUGUCGNNUNUGCUNUGAAAGCCCGGGGNUCAACCCCGGGUCUGCAGUGGGUACGGGCAGACUAGANUGCAGUANGGGAGACUGGAAUUCCUGGUGUAGCGGUGAAAUGCGCAGAUAUCANGAGGAACACCGAUGGCGAAGGCAGGUCUCUGGGCUGUAACUGACGCUNANGAGCGAAAGCAUGGGGAGCGAACAGGAUUAGAUACCCUGGUAGUCCAUGCCGUAAACGUUGGGCANUANGUGUGGGGGACAUUCCACGUUUUCCGCGCCGNAGNUNACGCAUUAAGNUGCCCCGCCNGGGGANUACNNCCGCNAGGNUNNAACUCANAGGAAUUNANGGGGGCCCGCACANGCGGCGGAGCAUGCGGAUUAAUUAGAUGCAACGCGAAGAACCUUACCAAGGCUUGACAUGAACCGUUAAAGCGUAGAAAUACGCUCCCCACUCGUGGCCGGUUUACAGGUGGUGCAUGGUAGUCGUCAGCUCGUGUCGUGAGAUGUUGGGUUAAGUCCCGCAACGAGCGCAACCCUCCUUUUAUUUUGCCAGCGGGUUAUGCCGGGGACUCAUAGGAGACGGCCGGGGUCAACUCGGAGGAAGGUGGGGAGGACGUCAAAUCAUCAUGCCCCUCAUGUCUUCGGCUUCACGCCUGCUACAACGGCCGGUACAAAGGGUUGCGAUACUGUGAGGUGGAGUUAAUCCCAAAAAGCCUGUCUCAGUUCGGAUUGAGGUCUUCAACUAGACCUCAUGAAGUAGGAGUCGUUGGUAAUCGCAGAUCAGCAACGUUGCGGUGAAUACGUUCCCGGGCCCUGUACACACCGCCCGUCAAGUCACGAAAGUUGGUAACACCCGAAACCGGUGGCCUAACUCCAUGGGGA
rnacentral:rRNA from 1 species